rnacentral:rRNA from 1 species
UACGUAGGGACCAAGCGUUGUUCGGAUUUACUGGGCGUAAAGGGCGCGUAGGCGGCAAUUCAAGUCAUCUGUGAAAUCUCCGAGCUUAACUCGGAACGGUCAGAUGAUACUGCUUUGCUAGAGUGCAGAAGGGGCAACCGGAAUUCUUGGUGUAGCGGUGAAAUGCGUAGAUAUCAAGAGGAGCACCGGUGGCGAAGGCGGAUCUCUGGGCCUUACCUGACGCUGAGGCGCGAAAGCUAGGGGAGCGAACAGG